UCUAGAUUGGCUUGACGCGUGCAGUCUGCUCUCUGCACGCGCAAAAAUUUGUUUCAUUCUGAUUUACUUUUUUUCUGUCCAGGGUCACAAGUGUCGAGAAGGACAUUUUGCCAGAGAGUGUCCUCAAGCUGGUGGAGGCGGUGACAGUGGUCCGUUGACGUCACAAAUAUGGGUAAGGGGACAUUUCUCGAAGGAUUGUCCAUAAGGGGGCCGUGGCGGUGGUGGAAGUCAUACCUGCCAUGAGGUAAAAGAAAAACAACAAAAAAACAUUUUAAGUUCUUUUAGUAGUAGUAGUUUUUAACAAAGAAGAGGGCCAUGUAGCAAGGGAUUUUCCACAAGGAGGAGGCAUUGGUGGCAGCAAGUGUUACAACUGUCAUGAAGCUGACCCCACCUCAAAAGGCUGCCUGCAUCUAUUCAGUGAAUUGAUGGAGGAUGGAAAGCCGCAUGAACAAUACAUUCCGGAAGCUGUGACAUGUGAUGAAAAGGAACUGUUAAGGGCAUCAUCUGUGGGGAACGCUUUAGCAAUUUUGAUAAAGUUAUCCUCCAGUUACAGGAAAAUAUGGACCUCAAUAUGUAACAUCAUUUGAAGAAGCCGGCCUGCGCCUACCACUACUUCAAAACAUUAAGUAUUCUGGCUACAUAAAACCAACACCUGUUCAGAAAGCUUCAGUUGCAGUUAUUCUUGCCAAAAGAGAUUUAAUUGCUUGUGCUGUCACGGGCUCCGGCCAAAUGGCGGCGUACUUGGUACCGGUUAUGAGCAUAUUGUUAGAACAAGGUGUUGCUGGUGCGUCCCCGCCAUGGUUCAAAAGCCAGAAGUUGUAAUUGUCGCACUCACUCGUGAAUUUUCGAUUCGAAUUCACCGCGGGUCGUGUAAAUUCUCCUGCAAUUCGGUUUUAAAAUCUGUCAUUAUAUAUGAAGGAACUGCCACGAGCCAUCAGCGGUCAAAUCUUCAAGCUGGGUGCAAUACUCUUGUCGCGACCGCGGGGCGACUCAAGGAUUUUCUCGACCGUGGAGUAUUUUACUUCUCGACGGCCAGGUUUUUAAUUUUGGACGAAGCUGAUCGAAUGCUUUAUGGGUUUCGGUCCCGAUAUUGAAAAAAUUGCCAACCAU